UUAUUUAAAAAAUACAUAAACUUAAUUUUUGGAAAUAAAUAUAUAUUAAUAUACUGGCAACCCUAUCCCUUGAUGUCUGUCACUGUCAUUUCAAAAUGGCGGCGCCUACGCAAUUACGCAUCGGUGUUGAUUUUAUUUCGUGAAUAUUCCUUACCGUAUCGUCGAGUUGAGCUGCUGUUCCUCCGAUAACGUGCAGAAUAUCAUUAUUUUUUAGUGAUUUUCGAGACAGCGACUCUUUUUCGUGGUGUUUUGUGAGACAGUGACUCUUUAUGUGCUACGAUGUCGGAUAAGGAGAACAAACGGAAAUGUUUUAAAUGCGGCUCUUCACCCGCUGAAGACGGCAUUAAAUUGUUCCGAGCUCUUAAGCCUGGCACCAAUGACCUAGUUCGUUGUGAGCAAUGGGCACAGUACAUGUACCCUGGAAGAAAUGUUAGCUCUGUAGAAUUUCUGAAAAAACUCUACAAUGAGCACAGGAUGCUUUGUUCAAAAAGAGGAUUUUACGGAUCUGACUCGAAAAUAUUUAUUAAGGACUGCAGUCCCCAGAGACAUUGAGCAACAUGUGCCUAUCUUCGUGGCAAGUCAGCCAGGUACUUCCGGAGUACAUAGCCAGGUACUAACAAACAUCACAAACCAGCCUGCUCAUGGAACAAUCGAGCAACAGGAGCUGGGUCAACCGGGACCAUCAAGAAGCACAAAUGAGGCUUGCAUUGAAGCAGGGUCCAGAAAACCUAAGAUGAUGAGACGACCAAUGAGUAUGUGUACGAACGACGAAAAUUGAAAUUGAAUUUUAUGUGUAAACAUUAAAGACGUGGCAUGCGGUAAUAUCGCACGUUGUUUCUCCGGUGUAAAUCAAGCAUAAUACUGUUUGUUCUGGAAUGAUUUGAUUAAGGAGGCUUUUUCUUUGUGUUGGUCGUAGUGGUCCUAACAGCCAGUACGACCUGGGGCUUAUUUCUAGAAACUUACAACUCACAAGUUACAAAUGUGUAACCAUACUAACCCUUAAAUUUCACAAUUACUACGCGUGACCAUGGUUACACACCUAUAAUUACAAGACUUGGAGGUUUCGUGAAACAAACCACUGGAUUUAUUAUCUAUCUUGACAUUUAGUUAGCAAUCUUCUGUCCACUACGAAACAUAUUGUAUAGAAUAAAAUAAGGAAGUAAAUCUAAAGGAUUGGGACUGCCGCAACUUUUGCGUGAACUAUUUGGUAUUAAUAAAAACUAUAUAAAAAUAAAACAAAUAAUAUUGAUGAAUGUGGAGGAAGCAAGAAAAGUGUGUCUGGAUCGAAGCAAAUGGAAUUCUAUAGUCUCUGCUUACCCCGGUGGGAAAUAGGCGUGAGUUUAUGUAUGUAUGUAUAUAAAAAUAAUUGUUUGGCCCAUGUUUCGUGAGAAAAGUUGUUCAGUUUCAUGAAUGAAAUCCAAUCCUUCAGUGUAGGUACUACACCGCAUUUCUGUUAAUUCAUGCAACAGAAUCUUUUCACAAGAAGAAAAAUGUGAUAUUUGCACCAUUGCUCCUAAUUUACGAAAAUUCUAUUGUUACAAAAUAUAUAGUUUUCAUUUAAUUCAUUAUCAUCGACACUAAAGAAGAAGAAUAAAUAAAUACAUUUAUACUUUUCUCAGUA
rnacentral:misc_RNA from 1 species